UGCGGAAGGAUCAUUGUCGAAACCUGCCCAGCAGAACGACCAGCGAACAUGUUUAACUCCCUCGGACGUCGGGGGGAUGUGGGCGGCCUUGUGCUCCUACCCCCCYGCGCUCGAGCUGGGGAUGCGGCCCCCCGUGGGUUCUUCCUUGGCAUCUCAACGAACCCCGACGCGAAAAGCGUCAAGGAACAUAAACUACAUAUGAGCUCCCUCCUGCAUCYCGGUUAGCCGGUGUGGGCGCGGUGCCAUGUCAUAACAUUAAACGACUCUCGGCAACGGAUAUCUCGGCUCUCGCAUCGAUGAAGAACGUAGCGAAAUGCGAUACUUGGUGUGAAUUGCAGAAUCCCGUGAACCAUCGAGUCUUUGAACGCAAGUUGCGCCCGAGGCCUUUGGUCGAGGGCACGUCUGCCUGGGCGUCACGCAUCGCAACCCCCCAAACCCACUCCGGGAGGGAUGGGGAGGAGGAUGGCUUCCCGUGCCUCACCGGGCGCGGUUGGCCUAAAAUUGGAGCCUAAGGCAUCGAGCUGCCGCGGCGAUAGGUGGUGAACAAGGCCUUGGUCGUGCAAACAACCAGCCGCGCAGCCCUUUGACAGUACGAGCUCGAAGGACCCUUUGAUGUUGCCUUGUUGCGACACAAACGUUGCGACCCC
rnacentral:rRNA from 1 species